UCAAGACGGUAAACUAGAAAUGCCGCUCUAAACAGUAAUGUCUAGAUGAAAACUUCGUGAAUUCGGUGGAACCCCAAACCAGCUUAUGUGGAUGGUGGGCAAUACCGAGCCAAGCCUAAUGAAUCGGUAAACUAGUAGUUAGGAAGGUGUGACGGUCAGGUGGUGAGGAACCGUACCAAUAACCCACCCACGAGCGCGGGGCAUCCUAUUGGGAUGAAGAUAUGACCUGAACUUUAUGGAAACAUAAAG
rnacentral:ncRNA from 1 species